GCGUUCCUCCACUAACUUGGAUGAAUUAUGGAAGUACUGGCAGGACUUGAUGCUGUCACCACAGGAUUUACAGGAUUUCAUCAGGCUCUGCCCAGGAAGUCUCUAUUCCCAGUUUCCAAAUGAGCUGCCUGUGUGGGGCAGUGGGCUGCACACAAACACCCUGGUCUCCAGUUGAGCUGAGGUCUUGAACCCGGGUGGGAUCCGGUGGGUGGUGAUUUCCACCUACAUGGGCGUUUGAUCUUGUCUCCAGGAUCCCUGGCUCCUGUCAAAGUUACCGCCCCCACAGUCCCACCCCACCCCCAGGAGAGGUGUGUGGCUAUCAGUCAUGUAGCUAACAGCACCAAGCCUUCUCACAUGCAAAUAAUGUUCCCCCCAAACUCUCAGUUCAAGCCAGUGAUAGAUACCUGCUGUCGAACCCUGAAUCACCCCUAAAACUGUAUAUAAAUCUUAUCCAGGGAAUUAAAGGUGUGCGAGAACUA